GUAAUAUUAUUUACAAUAUAUAUCAAUAAGAUGAGUGAAUUUAUUGAUUCGCCCUAUUUAUCAAAUCAUCACAAUGCUGAAUGGGUUACUUGUUUCGAGGGAGUGAAUAGUAGAUCCUUUAUACCGUUCCUCAGGGAAUUACAGCAAAACAAUAACCAGGGAAUAAAUCCACCGGGAAGGUGGUUCAGGGACGGUAAGGUCAGGCAGGGUGCCGUAUACAAUCAUCGCCAGAUACUAUCAGUAUAAGAAUUGAGCAGUACAACGAUUGAAUGAAGGAUAGCUGACAGGGAAGUAUUUUUGUCAGGGAAUGAGCAGGGAGCGACCUAUUUAGCAGGAUUGCUAUGACAGCCAACCGGAGAGGGGAGAUUUUAUAUCUCUCCUCUUUUUUUUACU
rnacentral:misc_RNA from 1 species